UAUGAUGUAAGACACAGGACCAAAGAGAAUAGUCCUGGCCAUUCUGGUGGGGCCUGCUCUGUGAACUGACACAAAGACUCUGAAGAAGAGUGCCUGGCACUGCCUUGCUGGCACAUUGUGUGUCCCAGCCUGUGCUUCUAAUCACUUAGCCACGAAACACAUGUGACAAAGGAUCCAGUGUAUGUGUCAUAAUGCCAGUUUUCUUGGAAGUAGAGCUGCUUAUCAUCCAGACUUUCCAACAGUUCUGACAGCUUUAGAAAUAGAUAAUGCGGUUGUGGCAAAUAGCCUAAUUGACAUGAGAGGCAUAGAGACAGUGCUACUAAUCAAAAAUAAUUCUGUAGCUCGUGCAGUAAUGCAGUCCCAAAAGCCACCCAAAAAUUGUAGAGAAGCUUUUACUGCUGAUGGUGAUCAAGUUUUUGCAGGACGUUAUUAUUCAUCUGAAAAUACAAGACCUAAGUUCCUAAGCAGAGAUGUGGAUUC
rnacentral:lncRNA from 1 species